UGUUGACACUAAUGCCUCUUUGUCCGCCAUUUUUCGCCAGUCGCGAUUCGCUUAAAUUAUUCUGUGUGUCUAAUAUUUUCGCAUUGGGCUGAGGAAGGAACCUUUUCGACUGCGUCAUCUCUUGUGGCUUCUUCGUCGGUCGUGCGUGGGGGCGGCGGUGAGGAACACCGGUGGCUGCUGCAAUUUUGACAAGCGAACAGCGUUAAGCGAGUUUAAGUGGUUGCCGAGGAGCGAGCCACAAAGGCUUUUCGUCUUUGCCUUUAUCCCUCAGUCGAAAUUCCAGGGAUCACAAAUGAGAGAAGGCAAGAAGAGGCCCCCCCCUGUCGUCAUUCGUCUCCUGCACAGUAGUCACUUCUCCGCCAUCAAGUUGAACUUAAGCGCGUGUGUGCCCCUCUGAAUGUCCCUUCGCUGCAUAGUCGGUUUAUUUCGAGUGCGUUCGCGAGUGCAUUCGACGGCCAUCUUGAAGCAUUCGUGCGUGUAAUUAGGCCUAGAACUAAACAUAACCUCAAAAAAGUAGACCUUACAUUCAUCAAGGAGCGAAAAUUAUGAAGAAACGCCCAAAAUAAGCUCUGCUACGAAUGAAAAUAGGUAACAGAAAAACAGGGAAUAACUAAGAGAGAUGCCCAUAGAU